UUGAUUUAUAACAGAAUUGUGUUUCAUCAAGGUUUUAACAUUACUUGUAUGGUUUAAUGUCGACUGAUUUCUAAGGAAUAAGUUUAAUUAUGCAAACCAAAACUGCCUUAAUUAUCAAAAGUCUUAUUUUUAACAUAUGUUAUAUAUUAUUUACCAGUAAUUUGGCGCAAAUGUUAGGUUUUAUUUUGGUGCAAAUGAACGAUUUUUUUCGGCGCAAAUGAAAUGGCAAUUGGCGCAAAAGCAAAACACCGGUGUCUGACACAUAAAAUCGACACCAUAAGUACAAAAAUAUCUACAUAGUGACAACGAAACAAAGUAAUGAUCUAAUAGUACAAAAAUAUCUACAAAGUGACAACGAAACAAAGUAAUGAUCUAAGAGUACUC
rnacentral:lncRNA from 1 species